GAUGAACGCUGGCGGCGUGCCUAAUACAUGCAAGUCGAGCGAACAGACGAGGAGCUUGCUCCUCUGACGUUAGCGGCGGACGGGUGAGUAACACGUGGAUAACCUACCUAUAAGACUGGGAUAACUUCGGGAAACCGGAGCUAAUACCGGAUAAUAUAUUGAAGCGCAUGGUUCAAUAGUGAAAGACGGUUUUGCUGUCACUUAUAGAUGGAUCCGGGCGGCAUUAGCUAGUUGGUAAGGUAACGGCUUACCAAGGCGACGAUGCGUAGCCGACCUGAGAGAGGGAUAGGCCACACUGGAACUGGAACGCGGACCAGACUCCUACGAGACGCAGCAGUAGGGAAUCUUCCGCAAUGGGCGAAAGCCUGACGGAGCAACGGCGCGUGAGUGAUGAAGGUCUUCGGAUCGUAAAACUCUGUUAUUAGGGAAGAACAAAUGUGUAAGUAACUAUGCACGGCGUGACGGUACCUAAUCAGAAAGCCACGGCUAACUACGUG
rnacentral:rRNA from 1 species